GACGAACGCUGGCGGCGUGCUUAACACAUGCCAGUCGAACGGUGAAGCGCCUUCCUUGUUGGUGGGUGGGGAUGAGUGGCGAACGGGGGAGUAACACGUGAGUAACCUUCUCCCUUUUGCAUGAUAACCGCAUGAAAGUGUUGCUAAUACGGGAUAUUCUGGGUCUGUCGCAUGAUUGGUCUGGGAAAGAUAUUGUGUCGGUUGUGGAUGGGCUCGCGGCCUAUCAGCUUGUUGGUGGGGUGAUGGCCUACCAAGGCGGUGACGAGUAGCCGGCCUGAGAGGAUCGGCGGCCCCACUAGGGAUGCGCCACCGACAAGACUACUAGAGGCGGCAGCAGUGAAGCUUCCUGCACGGUGGGAGGCAGGAUGAUGCAGCGACGCCGCGUGAGGGAUGGAGGCCUUAGGGUUGUGAACCUCUUUCGCCAGAGAAGAAGGGUUGACUCGUCUGUGCGCGGGUUGACGGUAGCUGGACAAGAAGCGACGGCUAACUACGUG
rnacentral:rRNA from 1 species